rnacentral:rRNA from 1 species
GGGGAAUAUUGCACAAUGGGGGAAACCCUGAUGCAGCGACGCCGCGUGGAGGAAGAAGGUCUUCGGAUUGUAAACUCCUGUUGUUGAGGAAGAUAAUGACGGUACUCAACAAGGAAGUGACGGCUAACUACGUGCCAGCAGCCGCGGUAAAACGUAGGUCACAAGCGUUGUCCGGAAUUACUGGGUGUAAAGGGAGCGCAGGCGGGCGAUCAAGUUGGAAGUGAAAUCCAUGGGCUCAACCCAUGAACUGCUUUCAAAACUGGUCGUCUUGAGUAGUGCAGAGGUAGGCGGAAUUCCCGGUGUAGCGGUGGAAUGCGUAGAUAUCGGGAGGAACACCAGUGGCGAAGGCGGCCUACUGGGCACCAACUGACGCUGAGGCUCGAAAGUGUGGGUAGCAAACAGGAUUAGAUACCCUGGUAGUCCACACCGUAAACGAUGAUUACUAGGUGUUGGGAGAUUGACCCUCUCAGUGCCGCAGUUAACACAAUAAGUAAUCCACCUGGGGAGUACGACCGCAAGGUUGAAACUCAAAGGAGUUGACGGGGGCCCGCACAAGCAGUGGAGUAUGUGGUUUAAUUCGACGCAACGCGAAGAACCUUACCAAGUCUUGACAUCCUCUGACGAACGUAGAAAUACGUUUUCUCUUCGGAGCAGAGAGACAGGUGGUGCAUGGUUGUCGUCAGCUCGUGUCGUGAGAUGUUGGGUUAAGUCCCGCAACGAGCGCAACCCUUAUGGUCAGUUACUACGCAAGAGGACUCUGGCCAGACUGCCGUUGACAAAACGGAGGAAGGUGGGGAUGACGUCAAAUCAUCAUGCCCUUUAUGACUUGGGCUACACACGUACUACAAUGGCGUUAAACAAAGAGAAGCAAGACCGCGAGGUGGAGCAAAACUCAGAAACAACGUCCCAGUUCGGACUGCAGGCUGCAACUCGCCUGCACGAAGUCGGAAUUGCUAGUAAUCGUGGAUCAGCAUGCCACGGUGAAUACGUUCCCG